UUGGUCUUCAUUUCUUUAUUUUUUUGGAUUAUUCUUUUUCAUCGUGAGCUCCCAGCUUAGGAACCACUUCUUCCAGGGUGAUUUCCCUGAUUGCCACAGACUGAGUCGGCUAGGUGUACUCUUGUGAAUGUCAUUAACAACCUACACUUCUCUGCUGUGCUAUUUUCCACAUUGCAGCAGUUCUCGAAUUUAGACCUUUACACCACAUCUGGGGAGUGUUGAGGUACAGUGUCUCAGAGCCUCCAAUUGUCAUCACACAUCUUCUCUAUGAUAGGUUGCUGAAAGAGCGGUUGGGAUUCUCAGAAGACAAAAACAAAAACUUCCACUUCUUUCUGUUCCUUCCUUGCUAGGUACCAUGCUGGCUGCCUUUUUAUCCUGCCAGAAACUCUGCAAGGCUCACCCUAUUGGUGGCACCAGGGUGCAGACCUGCUGAAGAAGACUGGAUCCCACCAAGUGAGAACCUCCCCUAGGGGCCCUUCGGUUGAGAGGACAACUAUUUCCCUUUCAAACUACUGGGACCGAAGUGAAGCCAUGUGAUAGCAAGGACCUAAGUCAUGGGACCAAGCCUGGCAGCAGAUCCCACCAUUUGAGUCUUGAGAUGAAUGCAGCCCCAGCUGACACCUUGAUUCCAGCUUUAUGAGAGACACUGAUCCAGAAGCAUCCAGCAAAGACACUUCUGGACAGACACUGAAAUGAGAGUAUUCUCCUGCUUGGACCAGAAGAUUGCUUAGGUACCUGGACUUUCAGUCUCGAAAUGCAAUCCGAAAAAUAAUAUUUUUGUGCAGUGGCAAAAAUAGCACUUCAACAUGCUUCCUCUGUUUCUUUGGUGUCUCCUAAACAACAAACAACUGUUCCAAGUGCUGCUUCUUGAGUAAUUGUUUUUUGUCAAUGUUUUGUCAACUUGUCAAUUGCUCACACACAGUUUAUGAGCACUCUGAUGGCGCAGCUGUCUACGGUCUAACGGAGAAACACAUCCCUUUGGAACGCCAUUAAGUACGUUUGAAUAAGCUCUGUUUGUACCUAGAAAGGCUGAGAGAGCACAUGCGGGAUGUGUCACCGCCAUUUUGGCAAAUUCUGAUUUUGACAGAAUUUUUUUGAA